rnacentral:rRNA from 1 species
AUUGAACGCUGGCGGCAGGCCUAACACAUGCAAGUAGAGCGGAGAGGCGGACGGGGGUGUAAAGCCUUGGAAUACGCCUGGUAGAGGGGGCUAACGUCCGGAGACGGGCGCUAAUACCGCUAACUAAAAAUUGAGCUUCGGCCGGAUUAGCUAGUUGGUGGGGUAAAGGCCUACCAAGGCGACGAUCCGUAACUGGUCUGAGAGGAUGAUCAGUCACACUGGAACUGAGACACGGUCCAGACUCCUACGGGAGGCAGCAGUGGGGAAUAUUGGACAAUGGGCGAAAGCCUGAUCCAGCCAUGCCGCGUGUGUGAAGAAGGUCUUCGGAUUGUAAAGCACUUUAAGUUGGGAGGCGUUACCAACAGAAUAAGCACCGGCUAACUUCGUGCCAGCAGCCGCGGUAAUAC